GUCAAAUUAAACAAAAAGUGAAACUAAAAACAAAUAAAGCAAAAAGAAAAACAAAACAGAGUCAUUAGGUAAGACCAGCCAUAAAAAGAUUGGAAAAAAUGAACUUCAUGAGAAUCUCAAGAGAAGUUGAGAAAAGAAAUCUACUAUCUCCACUUCUCAUGCACCAGCGACUCAGACAUGAAUUUGCACCGUCACGUCCUAUUGUUUCAAAUGGAUGCCAGUACUCUCCCUUAAGAUUCGAUGAAUUGAUCGCAGCACCACCACUGGCCAUGCAUCUGACCUUCAAAAGCCAUGUAACUCUGCCAUCAACCUUGCCAAGCGGAGCCAAGCCCUGGAUUAAUCGGCA